UUUUCGUAGGUGAACCUGCGGAAGGAUCAUUAGUGAAUCUCCGGAUGGAGCUCUGCAAAGGGCGACAUUCGAUCCACUAUCACACACACACUGUGCACUUGUCAAUUUUUAACACUAUUGUUUAAAACAAGUCCCUUGAAACCAAUUUAAAGAAAGAAAAACUUUCAGCAAUGGAUCUCUUGGCUCUC
rnacentral:misc_RNA from 1 species